AUUGAACGCUGGCGGCAUGCCUUACACAUGCAAGUCGAACGGCAGCACGGGAGCAAUCCUGGUGGCGAGUGGCGAACGGGUGAGUAAUAUAUCGGAACGUGCCCAGUCGUGGGGGAUAACGUAGCGAAAGCUACGCUAAUACCGCAUACGAUCUAUGGAUGAAAGCGGGGGAUCGCAAGACCUCGCGCGAUUGGAGCGGCCGAUAUCAGAUUAGGUAGUUGGUGAGGUAAAGGCUCACCAAGCCGACGAUCUGUAGCUGGUCUGAGAGGACGACCAGCCACACUAGGACUGGGACACGGCCCAGACUCCUACGGGAGGCAGCAGUGGGGAAUUUUGGACAAUGGGCGCAAGUCGGAUCCAGCAAUGCCGCGUGCAGGAUGAAGGCCUUCGGGUUGUAAACUGCUUUUGUACGGAACGAAACGGCGAGCUCUAAUACAGUUUGCUAAUGACGGUACCGUAAGAAUAAGCACCGGCUAACUACGUGCCAGCCGCCGCCGUAA
rnacentral:rRNA from 1 species